GUCCCAACAUGAAGCAAGCGAAGAUGUGGCGGGAUCUUGAACAACUGAUGGAAUGCAAAAAACAGUGCUUUCUGAAGCAGCAGAGCCCAGCCUCCAUCGGCCAGUCUUUUUUUCUGACUUAGAGGACUCUUUGAGGAACUAGUAUCUCUUGUUUUGAAGAAACGUUUGUCUGAAGUCAGCAGUCCCUGUGGUUUCACUUCAGCUUCUCUCUCUUCUAUAAAACCCAAACCAGUUCAUAUUGUGAAAAGCAUUUGUGUUGUUCGUAUGAUUUCAAAGCAAAUAAAGCCUGAGACCUGU
rnacentral:lncRNA from 1 species